CAUAGAGACAUAUGUUAGAGGAGAAGAUUAAACUAUGCAAAUGGAGCCCACGGCAGUUAAGGGAGAAGAUUUCCCAUUACCCGGCACUGUCAGCCUUCACUCCGUGGAGGUCAGAGCUGGGACAUUCUAUGAAUGGGGAGAUUUGCUUUGCUCAAACAUCGAGGCACCCCACAGUUUGCUGGUGGGCUCUCUCUACACCCACCAUUGUCUCCCCAGCAGACCUGGAGGCUUCUACGGUUAACCCAAAGGCCCCUUUCUGGUAUCCCUAGCACCAAAGAGGACUGAGGUUCUGCAAAUAAAUGCUUCCUGAUAGACAGGUGCUGUCCUUAGUUAUGUAAAGACUUUAUGACAAGAAAGACACUCCUCUGCCUCACUUGAUUGGGAUCCAUCCCCAAAGGAAGUAUAAGCCAACCUCAACUUCCUUUAUAGUUUCAGAAUCAUUAAUAUUAAAGUUUCUUUUACUCAUCUUUGAUUCAAUUAAGUAUGUACUAAAUGUCCCCUCUGGGCAAAGACUGUAUGAGACGCUAGGUAGCAGGUUAGGGACAAAAGUAUGCCCCUUCUGCUUCCCCUCUUUGAGACAAUGAGAAUUUGAAAGGGGAGGAGAAGGUUGUAUGUAUUCUACGAGCCCUGACCUUUAGAUAAAUUUAGCAGGUCUGGCCCUAGAGGGUGAGUAGACGGGGGAUGUAGGGGAGCACACUCUUGCUUACCCUUAGUGCUACCCGGUGUACCACUUGCUGGGGAUCACUCUCUAGGAUCACCCUAAGAAGACAAAGAAGAGACCAUCGUUCACUCUGGCCUGAAGGACAGACCCAUUGUGGGGAUACUCUGGUCACUAAGGCCACUUGCCUUAGGACAGAGGCAACGAUCCCACCCUCUCACCCCAGCUCCAAGGAGGUUCCAGGCAGGUCAGAAAACUCACCCUCCAUCUACGAUUUCAUCCACAGCCAAGAAGAGACCCUCCAUGUUCUCCAGCAGAGCUCGUUUUUCUACAUUCUUCCUGAGUCCCCAAGAGAAGAGAAAAAUCAGCCUAAGACACAUAGGAACCUAGCACACCGUCUGAGUUGGGGAUCCUAAACUAGACCAACAAAACGCCUCCACCAACCGCACAGACCAAAAAGGAAGUUAAAUGUCAAGAAUGGCCUGCUCACCUCAGCAUCUGGCUCAAUGAGUCAAAGAGGCAAUUCAGAACAGCCAUGAGCAUCAGCUGUUGGGAGACAGGAGAAGCAGAAGGAUAAGGUUCAAGGCCCUGAAAGCUGCUACCUGAAAACAAAACCUGCCAAUUCAUUAAGCAUCAAAAGACACGGGCUUUCACAAAGGACCAAAAGCAUAAGGUGGAAGUCAGAGCAAAAACAGGAAGAGGAACUGUGGUUUCUCGCAGAAAUAAAUUCUGCUACACGAUCCCACAAUUUGAGACCUCUCUCUGACCAGACUGUUCAAACUUUCCUAUUGCAGUCCUCUACAGGUCUUUACCAACUGUGUAUAUGUUACCGGAGAUCUUAGGUAAAGAAAUCAUUAACCAAACAGUAACUAAGGUCAGAGAGUUAGUGGAAAGAGUAUGGACUUUGGAGUCAGACAGAGUUGGGCUUAAAUCCCAGCUGAGCCAUUUCUAUAUGUGUGACCCUGGGAAAGUUAUUAGGUUGAACCAUAUGAAACUGCCAUUUCUAUAGUUCAACGGUGGUCAUAUGCAAGCAAUUUCAUAUUGUUCCUCAUGUUUUGGUUUCCUCAUCUAUAAAACAAGAACACUAAUACCCACAACUCACAUAAGUGCUGUAAGGAUUAGGUAACAAUGUACCUUACAAAGCACUUAAAGUAGUAAAAGCUCAGAAAGAA